CCUCUCAGCUGGAACAACUUUCACUGUGAGCAAGUUCAGCCUAAUAUUGGCUCCAUCACAUCCAGUGUGCAGUUUAACAUCAGAUAAAGUCAAUGACAACACGCUUCACUGGACGAAUGCCAAAAUAUCCCUGCUGCAUUUGACAACACUGAAUCACUGCAGCUAUAACAAACACAAUCAUCAAGACAUGACAUACAGUUGUGUUGUGUUCUGUUGUCUCUAUUGCUGUGGAGGACCUGUUUUUAGAUAAACAAAACGAGUUAUCGAUUGAACGCCCCAAUGUCGUGAGGGGACUGCAUGAACUGUUGCUCUCGUGUCCUAUCAUGAACGCACACAGGAGAUCAACGCUUGAAGAGGAGGUCACCAUAAACUGCCAUUGUAUGACAUCACUGAGCACAACAUUUAUUCACAAUUUCUCCCUUUGUGUAAAUAAAAAGAAAGAAAGUCAUAUAGGGUUAUAACAACACAGGGGUGAGUUAAGUUUAAACAAUGACUGAAUUUUCAUUUUUGGGUGAAUUAUCCCUUUAAUCAAAUGCAUUA